AAGGAAUUAACCUUGUAGAGCUGUUGACAAGGGAUGUCGUGGACCUGGUAGGAGAUCACCUUGACCUUUUCCGCAGGAACCAGACAGCUAUUGGCGUGGACGUCAUGGGUACAUUGUCUUCGGAAGAAAGGGAUGAAAGGUUGAAGCACCAUCUCUUGGUCUCUAAAGAACUCCAUCCUGCUUUGAUAUCAGCUGAGAGUGAGUACAAGGUACUUCAACGGCUCAUGGGUGGAAUCUUAGCUGUUGUGCUAAGACCCAGAGAAGCGCAAAGCCCCUUAGUUCGAUGUAUUGCCAGA
rnacentral:misc_RNA from 1 species